UCCCACCCCCAUCUCAACCCCCGUAUGAUCUGCCGCUUCCUCGACCUGCCUCGGCGCCGCUUCCUCGAUCUGCCUCGGCGUCGUUUGGAUCGUUGCGGCGACGACUUCGUCGGUUUUCAGCUCCGGCACCUACAUCCUGAAGGAGUACAAUCUCGUGUCUGGAUGGCGACGGACAUGUUGACCAUAUACCUGCACUAUGAAGAUACAAAUCAGGAAGCCAAAAUUUUACAAUGAUCCAUGAUGAAGCGUCAUGUCUCGUAUUAUGACUUAAUCUUGAUGAUCGAGGAAGUUGGCUUUCAGGCAAUUGACUUUCUGUACUAUGCAAAAAAAAACCCCGUCUAGGCAGCUCCUACUUAGUUCACAUUUACGAUCUCUUUCUGUACCUUGUUAUUGAUUCUGUGCUAGAGGUGAGGGAAACGAGGGAUCUUACAGGUGAAUCUGUUUCAAGACCGAACCAGCAAGGGACUAGAACUGCACACCUAGCUCGCUCAAAAAGAAGGUGCACUUCUUCCAU